rnacentral:rRNA from 1 species
UACGGAGGAUGCAAGCGUUAUCCGGAAUGAUUGGGCGUAAAGCGUCCGCAGGUGGCAAUGUAAGUCCGCUGUUAAAGAGUCUAGCUCAACUAGAUAAGAGCAGUGGAAACUACAUAGCUAGAGUACGUUCGGGGCAGAGGGAAUUCCUGGUGUAGCGGUGAAAUGCGUAGAGAUCAGGAAGAACACCAGUGGCGAAGGCGCUCUGCUAGGCCGUAACUGACACUGAGGGACGAAAGCUAGGGGAGCGAAUGGG